rnacentral:rRNA from 1 species
AGCCUGAACGCUGGCGGCGUGGCUAAGACAUGCAAGUCGCACGGUGUAGCAAUACACAGUGGCGAACGGGAGAGUAAUGAAUCGCUAAUGUACCCCGGACUCUGGGAUAGCUACCCGAAAGGGUAGGUAAUACCAGAUAACAUAACCUUGUCGCAUGACAGGGUUCUCAAAGGUCCGCCGGUCUGGGAGCAGGCGAUUUCGUAUCAGCUAGUUGGUGAGGUAACGGCUCACCAAGGCGACGACGCGUAGCCGGACUGAGAGGUUGGCCGGCCUCAUUGGGACUGAGACACUGCCCAGACUCCUACGGGGGGCUGCAGUAACGAAUCUUCCGCAAUGCACGAAAGUGUGACGGAGCGACGCCGCGUGUGGACGAAGCCCGUUCGGGGUGUAAACCACUGUCAGGGUUACCAAGUUCUGAGGAACCCCAGAGGAAGGCACGGCUAACUCUGCGCCAGCAGCCG